UUCUUCGGAACAAUCCAAUAGUGCGUGUAAGCAUACUCCCAAGAAAAUCCGCUAAACUUAAUCUUUAAGGUACCCGUACCGCAAACGGACACACGUAGUCGGGUUGAAUAUACUAAGGCGCUUGAGUGAU
rnacentral:rRNA from 1 species